CGGCGAGCUCGGGCGGGCGGGCAGAGCCCGGUGCGUGCCCAGGGCUCGCUGGGACUCUCCCCCGGCAGAGGGUCUUCCACAUGAGGAAGUCAAAUAACUUCACAGACAUCAAUCAACUAAGCCUCACACAUAUCUGUCAGGCAGUUGAGGAGGCACAUGUUUCUUGGGGGCGCAAGUCAGGUCCCAGCUUCUACAAAUACAGUCUCGAUAUUACCAAGAACCUACAUUAGCUUGUGCUCCAGGAUGAGCAGUAAACAACACCUUGAAUGUAACUCCACUCUCUGAGAUGGCCUUAUGGAACAAGCCCUUUGCCAGAGGAGAUAAGACCUGAAAAGCAGGAAAAGAGGGAGAGCACAAACAAUCUAUUUUGACCACUGAAUCACAAACUGCAGUGUCACAAAUUAUGUUUUAACACCAUUAUUUCACUUUUUAAAGCAAAUAUUAUUAAACUAUGUCAAAUGCUCUGUAGACUCAAGGGCUGAUUUACUUC